GAUGAACGCUAGCGGCAGGCUUAAUACAUGCAAGUCGUGGGGCAGCAGGUUUGUAGCAAUACAGAUGCUGGCGACCGGCAAACGGGUGCGGAACACGUACACAACCUUCCUUUAAGUGGGGAAUAGCCCAGAGAAAUUUGGAUUAAUACCCCGUAACAUUAUGAUGUGGCAUCACAUUAUAAUUAUAGCUACGGCGCUUAAUGAUGGGUGUGCGGCUGAUUAGGUAGUUGGCGGGGUAACGGCCCACCAAGCCUGCGAUCAGUAACUGGUGUGAGAGCACGACCAGUCACACGGGCACUGAGACACGGGCCCGACUCCUACGGGAGGCAGCAGUAAGGAAUAUUGGGCAAUGGAGGAAACUCUGACCCAGCCAUGCCGCGUGGAGGAUGAAGGUCCUCUGGAUUGUAAACUUCUUUUAUAUGGGACGAAAAAGGGUCUUUCUAGGUCAACUGACGGUACCAUAUGAAUAAGCACCGGCUAACUCCGUGCCAGCCGCCGCGGUAACAC
rnacentral:rRNA from 1 species